rnacentral:tRNA from 1 species
ACCUAGGUGGCUUAGUUGGAGAAGUGUCUGACUUUGGCUCAGGUCACGAUCUCAUGGUUUGUGGGUUCGAACCCCACAUCAGGCU